rnacentral:rRNA from 1 species
GACAAACGCUGGCGGCGUGCUUAACACAUGCAAGUCGAACGGAAAGGCCCUGCUUUUGUGGGGUGCUCGAGUGGCGAACGGGUGAGUAACACGUGAGUAACCUGCCCUUGACUUUGGGAUAACUUCAGGAAACUGGGGCUAAUACCGGAUAGGAGCUCCUGCUGCAUGGUGGGGGGUGGAAAGUUUCGGCGGUUGGGGAUGGACUCGCGGCUUAUCAGCUUGUUGGUGGGGUAGUGGCUUACCAAGGCUUUGACGGGUAGCCGGCCUGAGAGGGUGACCGGCCACAUUGGGACUGAGAUACGGCCCAGACUCCUACGGGAGGCAGCAGUGGGGAAUAUUGCACAAUGGGCGGAAGCCUGAUGCAGCAACGCCGCGUGCGGGAUGACGGCCUUCGGGUUGUAAACCGCUUUCGCCUGUGACGAAGCGUGCGUGACGGUAAUGGGUAAAGAAGCACCGGCUAACUACG